GUUGAGUAGGACAUUGAAACUGAAUGGCUUUUGUGCAUUUUUUUUUUCCCAAAAUUUAUUAUUUUUUUCAUAAGGUAUCAGCACUAUUGCCUCCAUGAUGUAUAGAAUGUUAUGUUGUCCUUCCAGAAAUUGCUAGGCAGCCUGUUGCUAUGAGGGACUGGGUUACAGAACAUAGCUAGGCCUACAUGACAAGGGUUGAACAAGAAUUGGGAAACCAGUAACUUUAGGGGAAUUGUGGGCUGCAAACAUUGUAACAUUGACACGGGGCAAUUAAGAGAUUAAGACUGGGGUGUCUUAACAAAGCAAAACCUUCUCAAGGGAAUGCCUUAUAUGGAGAUAAAUCAAAAACUCCACCCUGGAUAGGCUGUAAACUCCAUUGUACCUGAUUCGGAUCUGGAGGAGUGAACUGUGAUCAAAGGACAGUGUGUAUCAAAUUAAAAAGUGUGGGCCACUUGAAAAUAAUGGCAUCUGUCCCUUGGGAACAGCUGGUGACUUCAGAUCCCCGAACACAGUUGUCCUUCGUAUUUGGGACCUGUUUCCUUUUUUGGUAUUUUGUUACCCUAAAAAUAUGGAAGAACCUUUGCAUUGCUAUUCUAUUAUUAGCCUUUCUGGAAUUUAUAUGUAGGACACAGUGAAUGUACCCAUUAGAAAGCCUGAAGAUUGAUUACUGUUAGUUUUCCUCAAACUUUAUAUUUCUCAAGUGACCGAUUCUCUUUAUGAAUAGCUCAAUGCCAGUCUUUUGGCUGACCUGACAAAGUUCUGGGCUUCUCAGUUCAAAAAACACUGCCCAGCAGAGGGCCACAAAGAUGAGUAGGAACCUGGAGCAUCUCCCUUGUGAGGAAAGGCUGAGAGACCUGGGACUACUCAGCUCUGAGAAGAGAAGGCUGAGAGGUAAUUUCAUCACUAUCUAUAAAUAUAUAAUGAGCGGGAGGCACGUGGAUGGGACC
rnacentral:lncRNA from 1 species